rnacentral:lncRNA from 1 species
AGCUUAAUUAGGUAAAGCCUAAACUGACACUUCAUCAUUUCACAAUUUCGCAACCUCCGGAGUCGACUCCAAGAACUCUUCUUCAAAAUACAGUGCUUCCCAUUAAUUCAUGACUCAUUACAAGAUCACCUAAAUUUCUUCCCUCUCAUUCCAAUGAUCCAAUUUUAAUUUCAAAAAUAAUAAAAUCCCUUCAAUUAUUUAUUUCUCAGAUCUCAAAGCAUACCAUCUAGUUGCACGGAUCCCAAAGCCUCAUCCCAUCUCAGCCAUUCAUCUUGCAUCCACGUCAUCCAACUCCACGCUUCUCAAACCUAUUGUUUUUCCCAUGUAUUGAAACAAGAAUAGAGCAUCCCAGCAUCCAUGCUUCAUCCUCCCGCACUCCACCAUCAGCGAAUCCCUUGCAUUUUCCUCCCCGUGUCUGAAUCU